AAAAAGGUAAGCUAAGAUUAAGCUACUGGGUUCAUACCCCAUUUAUAAAGAUUCUCUUUCCUUUUUA
rnacentral:tRNA from 1 species